rnacentral:rRNA from 1 species
GAUGAACGCUAGCUACAGGCUUAACACAUGCAAGUCGAGGGACCGGCGCACGGGUGAGUAACACGUAUCCAACCUGCCCUUUACUCGGAGAUAGCCUUUCGAAAGAAAGAUUAAUACCCGAUAUAAAGGAUGGGGAUGCGUUCCAUUAGGUUGUUGGUGAGGUAACGGCUGCCCAAGCCUUCGAUGGAUGGGGGUUCGGAGAGGAAGGUCCCCCGCAUUGGAACUGAGGCACGUGCCAAACUCGUAGGGGAGGCAGCAGUGAGGAAUAUUGGUCAAUGAGCGCUAGCCUGAACCAGCCAAGUAGCGUGAAGGAUGAAGGCGUAUGAGUGGAAAUCUUCUGUUAUAUAAGAAUAGGUAUUAUAUGAAGAAGGAUCGGCUAACUCCGUGCCAGCAGCCGCGGUAAUAC